rnacentral:rRNA from 1 species
GCCAGACUCCUACGGGAGGCAGCAGUGAGGAAUAUUGGUCAAUGGGCUUACGCCUGAACCAGCCAAGUCGCGUGAGGGAGUACUGCCCUAUGGGUUGUAAACCUCUUUUGUCGGGGAGCAAAAGCCGGACGUGUCCGGCUGUGAGAGUACCCGAAGAAAAAGCAUCGGCUAACUCCGUGCCAGCAGCCGCGGUAAUACGGAGGAUGCGAGCGUUAUCCGGAUUUAUUGGGUUUAAAGGGUGCGCAGGCGGAUUUUUAAGUCAGCGGUCAAAUCGUGGGGCUCAACCCCAUCCAGCCGUUGAAACUGGGGAUCUAGAGUGUGCGAGAGGUAUGCGGAAUGCGUGGUGUAGCGGUGAAAUGCAUAGAUAUCACGCAGAACCCCGAUUGCGAAGGCAGCAUACCGGUGCACAACUGACGCUCAGGCACGAAAGCGUGGGUGUCGAACAGGAUUAGAUACCCUAGUA